UACGGAGGGAGCUAGCGUUGUUCGGAAUUACUGGGCGUAAAGCGCGCGUAGGCGGCUUUGUAAGUUAGAGGUGAAAGCCCGGAGCUCAACUCCGGAACUGCCUUUAAAACUGCAUCGCUUGAAUCCAGGAGAGGUGAGUGGAAUUCCGAGUGUAGAGGUGAAUUUCGUAGAUAUUCGGAAGAACACCAGUGGCGAAGGCGGCUCACUGGAGCUGGUAUUGACGCUGAGGUGGCGAAAAGCGGUGGGGAGCAAACAGG
rnacentral:rRNA from 1 species